UACGUAGGGUGCGAGCGUUAAUCGGAAUUACUGGGCGUAAAGCGUGCGCAGGCGGUUUUGUAAGCCAGAUGUGAAAUCCCCGGGCUUAACCUGGGAACUGCAUUUGUGACUGCAUGGCUAGAGUUUGUCAGAGGGGGGUGGAAUUCCACGUGUAGCAGUGAAAUGCGUAGAUAUGUGGAGGAACACCGAUGGCGAAGGCAGCCCCCUGGGAUGUGACUGACGCUCAUGUACGAAAGCGUGGGGAGCAAACAGG
rnacentral:rRNA from 1 species